UGACAGUUAACCGAUUUUUUCUUUAAGCUUUACGGUUUCUACGGUUUUUACUAAUUUGUUUGAUUUCGUUUCCGAUUAUCUCUAAUUUUAGUAGUGAAAAAAAUGUGUUAUCUCACAAGAAAUCGAAAGAAUUCGUAAACAAGAACUUUCCUUUUAUUGAAAAUUUAUGAAAUUUAUCAUCAAACUAAAAGUAAGGUUAAGAUCGUUAAAAUGAAAUAAAAAAUGAUAAAUUAAUAUCUACAAAACAAAAGAUUAAAAAUGGAAGAAGAAAUGGAAACAGAUUCGUCCGAUGACUUCACGGAUGAAGAAAUUGACAUUGCGGCCGUCGAUGAGGAAUUAAAUAAAGCAAUAAUUGGCGGUAUGAUUGAUAUGGAAAUGGAUGUAACAAACGAUGAGAGUCUAUUUGAAUCUGAAUUGAUGAAAAAUUACCCCCACGAUUUGCAAAUGUAUCGAAAUUCUCUAAUUGGAAAAAUAACACUCGACGAAUUGGAGAAUUUGGGACUUGAGAGACUUCAAGUUCUCAGAAUAAUUGAUACACUCAAGAAGGAAUCGCAAAUAAAGAAAGAAGACUUCAAAGAAUGCUUACUGGGAACAUUGCGAAAUAAAGGAUAUGAUUCUUACGUUAAACUGAUAACGAGUCCUGGCUGCGAUUCAAAUACGCCAUUGGAUCUUGAAAUAAGAAGAAGAGAUCAUGUUUCUCAUUUUAUUCUCAAAGUUGCUUUAUGCAGAAAAACGAAAAUCUACCAUUGGUUCAUUAAAAUGGAGAUAAAUUUAUUUAAUACAAGAUUCAGAUCUUUAAAUGAAAAUGGAAUGGAGAAAUUUUUAAUUUACAAUGAUUUCAUUUUUCCAAUUCUUUCCGAGGAAGAAAAAAAUCAGAAUAGAGACAAUUUGCUGGCAUUAUAUGAAAAUAUCGAUUUCGAUCAGACAGUUUUUUAUAAAGUUCCCUAUUUAAAAGUAAGAUAUUUAGUUCAAUGUCGAAAUGUUCUUUUAAAACGCGGUAUUGUUUUUCUUCCAAUUACGGAAAUUAUUCACGUCGCUUCGCAAGCUUUUGGCGAUUCAUUGACAAGAGAACGAGAGCAAUAUCGUUACGUGGCGAAAGAAGAUUCCAGAUUGGUACCAAUUUUAAAAAAGUUUUUCAUUGUAUCACAAAGUGCAUUGCCCUGCGCGAUGAAUUCCAUAGAUUUAAAAAAUCUAGACGAAAUAUCAGAGAAAUCGUUUCCAUUGUGUAUGAGGACAAUGCACGAGGCUUUACGAAAAGAUCAUCAUUUAAAAAAUGACGGACGCUUUCAAUAUGGAAUAUUUUUGAAAAUAAUUGGUCUCAGCUUUGAUUCUGCUGUUGAUUUUUGGAAGGAGGAAUUCCUAAAGAAAAUGCCCCUCACUCAAUUCAAUCAAGAAUAUCUCUACAAUAUUAGAUAUAUUUACGGUCUCGUGGGGCAAAAGGCGAAUUAUCAAACCUACAGUUGUGCGUCUGUAAUUAAAUCCAGAGUCAGUUAUGGACAGUAUCAUGGUUGUCCAUACAAAAAUAUGACUCCAAGUACACUUAAUUUGAAAUUGAAAAAUCUUGGUGUCAGUGAUCAAGGAUUAGUGGAAAUCGAGGAUCUUGUUACAAACGAACAAUACAAGGCAGCCUGCACCAAGUGCUUCUCCCAAAUGCAUAAAGUGCAAUUGACCAAUGCGAUUGAAUCGCCUGUGGAAUAUUAUAAUCACAGUAAUAAUGAAAUUAUCCGGAAAAAACGUAUUAAAAUUAAAAUGGACCAAAGUAUUAUCGAACAAACUCAAGAGAAUAAAGACGCUUCACUUUUGGAUUCAACUAACAAAAAUACGAAAGAACAAACGGAAGUGAAUAUAGAAAAUUCCUCUUCAAUUCCGGAAGUUCCACUAAAUGCCGACUGAUAAGCAACACUUAUAUGAAGCACGCACAUUGGCACGAUGAAAAAGCGACUAACUAAACAAUGCCUUGAAUUUGAAUAUUGACAGGAAGCUCAACUCCAUAUUAGCAUUUAUUACAAGUGCGGUCACUAAAAUAUUCAAAUUUGAAGAAAGAAAAAAUACAAAAUAUGAAAAAUUAUUAUUUUUUUAAAGAGACAGAGAAAGAGAGGGAGAGAGAGAGAAAAAAAAAAAUCAAAAUUAUACAAGAGAUCCUGCGGUUGUGCGAGCAAUUACGAACGUAUACUGAGACCGCAUUCAGUGUAAAGCGCUUGUAAACCAAGGACGUGAUCAUUCCAGGGGCAAUCGCAAUUUCACGCGAGUUCCACCAUAUGUAUAAUCAUUAUUAAAACUGAACGCUUUUCUCCACGUGACCCACCACGUGGUGACGAGACACCCCUCGUCUUCAAUAUAUGCAAAAUAUAUAUCUAUAUAUUUAUCACGAAUCAUUUAUACGAAAAUUACUCAGAGAACAUCACUCCACUUUUGUGAAUCAUGUCACAUACAGUCAGUCAAUGUAUUUUCAUUUUUCAUUUUUGCGUCACUUCAUUUUCAUUUUUUCUAAAAAUAUAUUUUAAUAGAUAACGAAA